ACAUGUUUGGUAAUUAAUUCCUAACACUCAAAGCUAUUAUCACUCCCCGGCAGCAGCGCCAAAAUAUGAAAGCUCGUUUUACUUAUUUCGGAAGAAACCUCCGAGCAUAAAUCCGUAUAGGGGGAUUCGAACACGGAAAAUGACUAGUUGCUUAAGCGUUCACGUUAGGGUCACACAAUCAAUUAUCUCCUGAAUGUAUCAUC
rnacentral:lncRNA from 1 species